rnacentral:rRNA from 1 species
GCAGAGACCACCCCUCGUACCUUUUGCAUCAUGGUUCAGCAAGUUUACUCAAGCAAAGAGAACUCUAGUUUGCACCCCCGAAACUUGACGAGCUACUCCGAGACAGCCAACUAUGGGCUAACCCGUCUCUGUGGCAAAGGAGUGGGAAGAUCUCCGAGUAGAGGCAAAAAACCUACCGAGCCAAGUUAUAGCUGGUUGCCUAAUAAAUGAAUAAAAGUUCAGCCCCGCCUAGCCCGACUCAAACUAGUUUUACUAUCGAAGACAAAGAGCUUGCCCGCGGGAGUUAAUCAGAGGAGGUACAGCUCCCCUGAUACAGGAUACAACCUUUUUAGGAGACAAAAGAAUAUUACCCAACAAGGCCCUGGGCCUCAGUGGGCCUGAAAGCAGCCACCUGAUCCGAAAGCGUUAAAGCUCCGGCCGUGAGAAAGCCUUUUAUCUAAUUUUGUUAUCUAUUCCCCUAAACAUUAUUGGGCCUCCCCAUGCAUUCAUGGUAGAGACUAUGCUGAAACGAGUAACAAGAAGAAUGAACUUCUCCACGCACAAGUGUAUGUCAGAUUGGACCAACCACCGACAAUCAACGAACCCAAUAAAAGAGGGCCCCGCACACCCGCCACCUCUGGCCAAGAAAACCGUGCUAUUCAAGAUCGUUACCCCAACACAGGAGUGCUAACAUAAGGAAAGACUAAAAGGAAAAAAAGGAACUCGGCAAACCUAGACCUCGCCUGUUUACCAAAAACAUCGCCUCUUGCACCACGAAGUAUAAGAGGUCCCACCU